AGAGUUUGAUCCUGGCUCAGGACGAACGCUGGCGGCGUGCUUAACACAUGCAAGUCGAACGGUGAAGUCCCUUCGGGGGCGGAUCAGUGGCGAACGGGUGAGUAACACGUGGGCAAUCUGCCCCUCACUGUGGGAUAACUCCGGGAAACCGGGGCUAAUACCGCAUAUGAAGCCUGGCGGCAUCGCCGGGUUUGGAAAGUUUUUCGGUGAGGGAUGAGCCCGCGGCCUAUCAGCUUGUUGGUGAGGUAAUGGCCCACCAAGGCGACGACGGGUAGCCGGCCUGAGAGGGCGACCGGCCACACUGGGACUGAGACACGGCCCAGACUCCUACGGGAGGCAGCAGUGGGGAAUAUUGGGCAAUGGGCGAAAGCCUGACCCAGCGA
rnacentral:rRNA from 1 species